UACGUAGGGUGCAAGCGUUGUCCGGAAUUAUUGGGCGUAAAGAGCUCGUAGGCGGUCUGUCGCGUCGGAUGUGAAAAUCCAGGGCUCAACCCUGGACCUGCAUUCGAUACGGGCAGACUAGAGUUCGGUAGGGGAGACUGGAAUUCCUGGUGUAGCGGUGAAAUGCGCAGAUAUCAGGAGGAACACCGGUGGCGAAGGCGGCGUUCUGGACUGUAACUGACACUGAAAAACGAAAGCCAGGGGAGCAAACGGG
rnacentral:rRNA from 1 species